rnacentral:lncRNA from 1 species
AUGAGGAAAAUAAUCACAACUCAAGUUCUGAGGUCAUCUGUUUCAUUCUUCUAUUGGCCCUUCCGGGAUGGACAGAGCUUCGUGACACUUCCGCUCUUCGCUAUCAUCAUCAUCCCUAUAGUGAAAAGUCAGGUCCAAGCCUCACCAGCACUGAAAGGUCCUGACUACAGAAAAAGCGGAGAACCUGUCCUGCAUUUGGAAGUUGUGGAAGGCCAUUUUUUGCACCAAGCGAUUAAAAAAAAAAGACUAGCAUGAGAGACAGGGAGGGAGAAGAGGAGGGGCAAGAACAGGAGAGGAGAGAAGGUAGGUAUUCGGUAUUGUUCUGAAUAAGUACCUUGGAAUAAAA